rnacentral:rRNA from 1 species
UCAGCACGCCAGUGAAAUACGCCCUAACUAAGUAAAAUCGGAGCGGGUAUCAGGCACGAAACUCAGCCCAAAACACCAAGCUACGCCACACCCACACGGGCCUACAGCAGUGAUAAACAUUAAGCUAUAAGCGACACACAACCAAUUAAAGCUUGACUUAGUUAUGAUUAACUGGGCCGGUAAACCUCGUGCCAGCCACCGCGGUUACACGAGGGGCCCAAAAUAGCAGACUACGGCGUAAAUUGUGGCCAGAAUAAACCCAUUAAACUAAAGACUAAACCAUGGCCCAACCGUAAAACCAGGGCUAAAUGAAACCACACAUCUUUAAUGUAGGGGUAUUUGACCCACGAAAACUAAGAAACAAACUAGGAUUAGAUACCCUACUAUGCUUAGUCGUAAAUAUGACAUAACUUAUACACCAAUGUCCGCCAGAAAACUACGAGCGAAAAGCUUAAAACUCAAAGGACUUGGCGGUGCUCCACAUCAACUUAGAGGAGCCUGUCCUAUAAUCGAUAAUCCACGAUACACCAUACCAGUCUUUGCCAAUCUCAGCCUAUAUACCGCCGUCGCCAACCUACCCCAUGAGGGAAAAACAGUAAGUAUAAUAGUUUAAUAACUAAAACGUCAGGUCAAGGUGUAGCUAAUAGACUGGAAGAGAUGGGCUACAUUUUUUAAAAUAAAAAAUACGGCAUAGCAUUAUGAAAUUAAUGCCUGAAGGAGGAUUUAAUAGUAAAACUAACAAGAAAAUUAGUUUUAAACAUG